GAAGAGGCACCAGGGACGCGGUUACACAGAGAAAGGCCGUGUGCGGACCCUGAAGGUGGCCGUCUGGAAACCAACCAGACAGGCCUCAGGAGAACUGAGAGCUGCCACAUCAUGGAGGUUCCAGCCUCCAGAGCUAUGAAAAAGUCAAUUACUCUUCCCACACUUGCUCACCCUUGGACUUACUGCAUUAAUAUCAGCUUAGCAAUAUCUACUUGUCGAGUAUGGGCUGUGUACAGAGGACCAUGUGAGAGAGUAAAAAAGAAAAUACAUCAUCCCAGGAUUUGAGUCACUAACUCAGCUCUGCUCUCUUCUACAACCCCAUGAAAGAUGGUAACUCCAUCUGUCCUGCAAACUUUCAGCCGACUUCAUUACAAAAAUACCCCAGGACCAAAGCCAGAGCUAAUGAGCAUCUUAGACCAUUUGGAAGAAGAAAGGCUAUUUUUUGGCUGAGGAUAAUUGAGCUUCACUUCAAAUCAGAAUCUAAGCUAUUAUUUUCUCUGUACUGAAUCCAAAUCACUGAGAUUCCUGAAGUUUGUCCAUGGUUAUUGUCCACCUGAUGCCAAAAUAUUCUGAUGAAAAGCGAAACAUUCAGCCAGUUGUGUGAAUUCUUUGUCCUGAAAUCUAAAAGCUCAGCCAUCUGGCAGGAUAGCAGAACAGCUGAACAGUCAACUGAUGCUCCUGCUGUAGAUUGAGAGGCCAUAAGAAUUGUGCAGAUAAGAUCUCCUGCAAAAAUCAAAAUGCAAAGGCCCAAUGCCAAUGUCCCUCAUUAUUGAUAAAGUGGGAUCCACAGCAUUAAAAUCAUGGAAGUUUGGAGUAAAAAGGAAUCCUGUCCAACUGCCUCUGUUUACAGAUAAAGAAAUUGAGGCAGCUCGCAUCCAUCGUUUCAAACCUUGACCAGAUGCCCUCUCCUCUGGGGAACUUUUCUUCACUUCCCCCAGGCUGCUAUCUGCUCUGGCUCCCACAGCUAACUACCAGCACUCACCCCCUCACAUCCAAUUUAUCUGCUUGUGCAUCUGUUUCCUCUACUUACACUGUAAAACUCCCAAAGACUAGGGCCAACAGCUCUGUACCCUAAAAUUCUAGCCCCAAGAAUGUUCUCAAAGAAAGACUGUUGGAUGAGCUUGGGGUGAGAAUCUGAAUCAAUGUGCACUCCAAAUACAUUCUUUCUCCACGCCUAUGUUGAAAUGGUAGUAGCGAAAUUCAACAGAAAUUCUAGACGUACAAUUCGUCCUAAGCACUAAAAUCUGAGGUCUCGCGUUCUUCAGACAAAAAGAACACCAGUAAAGCAAACUGUAGUGAGCCAACACAGUUCCUGGUAUAUAACAUGAAUAUUGUAAUUUAGAGAAAUUAAAACACAAUAAUAAACAUUUGCUGUGUUGGUAUCAACUUACACAUAAUAGUAGUAGCAACUAACGUGUGAGUAUUUACCAUAUACAAGGCGCUAUUCUGAGAAAUAUAUGUUUAACAUAAUUGUAUUUUAUGUUUAUCACUGAAACUACAUAGAACUUGAGGUUACAUUUUUAGACUGAUCCUUGCAUCUCCUCUACCUGUGGAUAAAUGAAAACAAAAAAGAUGUAUGUUAACUAAACUUAUUGCAGUCAUCAUUUUGAA